AAUAAUAAACUUUUGUGAUUGUGAAUAACUGCAGUGUUCCGUGAGUAUAACUCUACCGCUGUGUUAACACGUGAUGUGAAUGUAUGUCGCUUUGUACUACACAGUUUGUUGAGACGGAGGCGCCAGGACUGCAACUAACAGAAAGCGAUAUAGCACAAAACAACACUAUUUCUUAAAAAGCAGAUCAUGGAGACCUUUUAUUCGUCCACGUUGUAAUGUCCAAUGUUCAUUUUGGACACAGCAAGUGUCACAGCUCAAAUGUCCAAUCCCCGCCUAAUAACAAGCAAGGGGAAGUACUGCAAUGGAAAACACUCAUAAACUGAUUGUAAAAUAAUAUUCCAAAACAAAUAUAGUUAGGACUAAGAGGGACUUCUUAUAAUAAGUUCACACAAAAUUUAUUUCAAAUUUAAUUCAAGCACUUUCAAGGACCAAUAUUUGUUUUCAAGUACUUUCCAGGCCUUGAAUUCAUGUGUCUGAAAUCCAAGUACUUUCAAGUACUUUCAAGGCGUGUGGGAACCCUGACCGCCACACCCCACAAGCAAAAUAUCAGCAAGGGGCUGCCCAGACUCAAGAAUCCCGCAUGUAUCCAGCAGCUUGCGGUUGAUUUCCUCAUUAAUAGUACAUGCCUUAGAACCCGUGUCUAACAGGCCUUGGCAUGUGACUGUAUCAUUCACCAACACAUCGGUAUAAAACAAACUGUCAGCUUUUUCCAGCUUUGCGAUGUCUUGGAAUAAAAUGAUACUGCCACUUGUCUCAACCUGACAAUGGUUGCUAUAGACGACCAUCGGAUCAUCUUCGCUGGUGAGAGGCUGACUCUCAACACUCACACUACCCUCUCCCCAGUGUGAGUGGUCUAGUUUCCCUGACCAUCCCUGGUCUGGGCCGCACCUUGGCCAACAACUCUGUGACACUGUUUACGUUGAUGUCCAAACUCUAAACAAUCAGGGCAUCUUCUUUAUCUCAUGCAGUGUGAACGAGUUGAAUGAGAUCGGUCUCCGCGCACUGCACACGGGGAUGCUCGAUACCACGGUGACGUACAAGGCUUUGGUUCUGAAACAGGGUGUGGGCUUGCAGUACAUGCAGCAGAGGUUAUACCUACACUUUCGCUUCCUACUGCUACCUGCAUGCUGACAGGCUUUUCGGCAACAACGGCCUGUUGUUGGAACGGAAUCAGAUGAAUCAAAUUGCAGUGAAAUAGCAAGGGGCUCAAUAGCAAUGGCGAAGAGAAGUGGACUCAAGGGACA